CCAAUCGUGGAAAAGAUAAGAACCAUUGCCCAGGCUGUUUAUGGAGCCAAGGAUAUUGAGCUGUCUCCUGAGGCGCAAUCCAAAAUCGAUCGCUAUACGCAACAGGGUUUUGGAAACUUGCCAAUCUGCAUGGCAAAGACCCACCUUUCUCUGUCUCACGAGCCUGAUAAAAAGGGGGUGCCAAGGGAUUUCAUUCUGCCAAUUAGUGAUGUCCGGGCCAGCAUUGGCGCUGGGUUCAUUUACCCUUUGGUGGGAACGAUGAGCACGAUGCCAGGACUGCCCACCCGGCCCUGCUUUUACGAUAUAGACCUUGACACAGAAUCCGAGCAAGUGAAAGGCUUGUUCUGAUGGAAUGACACACCCACAGGACCCGAGCCAGGCUCUUCAAACAAAAGAGGAAAAAAAAAGCCUCCUUGCCUUUUUGCUGCAGUUGGAGAAGAAAGCGAGUUUUGAAACCUGCUUGUUACGAAAUGCUAGAGAAAGCAUGAGAGCGGCCAAAGAUCCUGCGAGAUGGAUCGUUCCCGGCCAAGCCAUGCUCAGCGAAGGACCUGCGUCUCAACUGGAAGAAGCAGAGUUACUCUCAGUGCCUAUAGAGUUUACACCGUUUCUGCUGCUUAUACUUUGGAGUGUUUAUUUUACAGGGACUGGGGGAUUACCAGAGUGUGAACUAGAAGCUAAUGUUUUCCUCUGUGGAGUUUCCUCUUUGGUCUUUUCUAUUCUCCUUUUCCCCCCUCCCCCGUGAUGGGAUGGGAUGCCAGGCCUCGGCUUGCACAGCUUCUACUGCUGAGCUGUAUCUUUAUUUUUGUCUUUGAACUGAAAAUAAAAAUGUUUCUA